GUCCAUAUUUCAUAUAAUUCUGAACUUAUGUGCUAAUAAGAGUUAAUAUAUACGAUAACAUACCAAUAUUUUUUUUUUGGUUUUUCACCCGGUGUCCGAAGCCCACAUUAUGAAUUCGGAUCGCGCACUGUAGGGUCCAUUUGGGGGUGGCGCUCCCAACAUAAUUUUCUCCAUACCGAAGGCUCAAACUCGAGACCUGUGGUUAAGGGUAAAACACUCCCACCACUGCAUCACAACCCAUUAAAAUGUACAGUAGAUUCAUUCAAUUGAAUUCCUAUAUAAAUUCAAUUCCCAAAAUUUUGAGCUAAGAUUAAUAAUUUUCGUUGAAAAUGGCGAAAGCAAAAGUGACAAUGGAGGUUGGGAACGACGGCGUUGCGGUAAUUACAUUCGUCAAUCCGCCGGUGAAUGCUCUUGCUAUUCAAAUUUUCGCUGGGUUAAAGGAGAAAUGGAAUGAGGCAGCUAUGAGAAAUGAUGUCAAAGCUAUUGUUCUCACUGAUGUGUAGGGAGUUUAUGGACAAGAAGAUCCAGAUUUUCUCAAGUAUCCAACGCCACUCGCGUUAGAGCAUUUUUAUCCUAAAAUGCUGGAACUCUGCACUUUUGAUUAAAGUGCUUUUGGAAGGUUCAAAUUCCAGUGGAGCUAGAUCAAAACACUAUAGGUUAGUGUAAGGUGGCCCGGACACUGCAAUUGGACAACGCUAUGAAUAUUCUUUCAUAUCUUCUACUCCCCAGACAUUCAUAUUUCUCCCAAGAAUAAUGUUACGUCAGCUAUUGCUUUAAUACUUUGAUAGACAAUAACUUUCCUCCAGGUUGAACUGCUCCAAUGGAUCUAAAAUUUAAAUGACAAGCAAAACAGAUUUUUCACAAACCACAGGACUAAAAUCUAAUUGAUUUUAUAAGCAACGAGCCAGUGUCGGCAUCCCUUUUUAAGUUUUCCCCUAUUUUCUUGCGCCUUCCCUCAAACUUUAGUCUUCAUCGUACUUUGGAUCUUUAGUCAUUAAAAUUAUCAUGAUUAAAUUGUCGAAUUUAAUGGUGGUUGACUUGACGAAAAUAAAGGUGCAAGCUAGAGAUAGUUCAUAUGAUAUAUGACAUGAUAGGAUACUUUUUAUCAGAAGGUGGGUGAUUAGAUCUUCAGAAGAUAAUUACUAAACCAAGUAUCAUAUAUUUUAUUCCGAUGAAACGUGAACAUUUUGCCUAGGUAUCAUGAAAGCGGAGCAUCU